rnacentral:lncRNA from 1 species
UAGGAUUUGAUUAGGAUUUGAUUUAGGGUUUAAGAUUUGGUUAGGAUUUGGUUUAGGAUUUAGGAUUUGUAUUAGGAUUUGAUAUAGGAUUUAGUUGGGGCUUGGUUGAAGAUUUGUUUAGGGUUUGAUUUAGGGUUUAGGAUUUGGUUAGGGUUUGGUUUAGGAUUUAGGAUUUGUAUUAGGAUUUGAUAUAGGAUUUAGUUGGAGCUUGGUUUAAGGUUUGUUUAGGGUUUGAUUUAGGGUUUAGGAUUUGGUUAGGAUUUGGUUUAGGAUUUAGGAUUUGUAUUAGGAUUUGAUAUAGGAUUUAGUUGGAGCUUGGUUUAAGGUUUGUUUAGGGUUUGAUUUAGGAUUUGGUUUAGGGUUUGGUUAGGAUUUUAUUUAGGUUUUGAAUUAGGGUUUGGUUUAGGAUUUAGAAUUUGGAUUAGGAUUUGGUUAGGGUUUGAUUUAUGAUUUAGGGUUUAGUUUAGGGUUUGGUUAGGAUUUAGUUAGGGUUUGGUUUAAGGUUUAUUUAGGAUUUGAUUUAGGGUUUAGGAUUUUAUUAGGAUUUAAGAUUUAAUUAGGUUUGGCCUAAAUUUUGAAUGAAGUUCAAUAGGAUUUUAACUAGAAUUAAAUUAAGAUUGAAUUAAAAUAUAUUUGAGUGAUAUUUGUGAUUCUUCUAAUAUUUUUUUAAAAAUUCUUAUUAUUUGUUUGAAAUUUCUUGAGAUUUCUUUGAAUUUGAUUAAGCUUACUUAGCAUUAUUAUGGUAUAAUUAGAGUAUUGUUAGUAUUAUAUUUGAAUUAGGAUUUUGUUAUUGUAAUUUCCAUUCUUCUUUCCAUAGCCAGGUGCCCAGAGCAUUCUCAAGCAAGACUUCACGUAUUAUGACAACGGAGUACAUCGCAGCAAGCCAUGGUACAAUGGAGGCAAUAUGGUUGAAACAACUUUUGGAUGACAUUGGAGAUGUGCAAAUGGAAGCAACUCCAAUGGAGUGUGACAAUCAAGGAUGUCUUGCAUUUGCAAAGAAUCCAAA